GUCCCCACAAAGGGGAAUGCAGUGAGGAGGGGUAUGUUCUGUACAAGAAAAAUCUGAACAGAAGCAAAGCAGCUAAUGAGAGACAGCAUUAUCAUCUGCCUUCAGGAUUUUAUGUCAUGAGAAGCAGCUGCAGCACCCAAGCAUCUUUUAUCACAGUGCAUUCCUCAUGGCAGAGCUAACUGCACAGUGGGGUGAAUGAAGGGCAGCUUGGAUUAAUACUUUGUACAUACAUGUGAUCGAGAUUCCAGGUACUGAAGAGGAUUCUGCUCUCCCUGUUACUGUAGGGGUUGAUGGAAUGCUUACACGGGCAGUCAUCUCUGUCGAAGGGUCCCUAUAAAACAAGAGGGUGCCCUGCUCAUCAUGACUGACUCAAGAUAGAUCACCCACACCAUUGCCCUGCCUGGAUCAAUAUCGUACUGUGCACACAUCCAGCUAACUCUUUUCUUCCUCUGCUGUAAGUCAGAGUGCUGCUUGCUGGAACCAAGACUCUGCUUUAGAAAGGGCUGAACUCACCUGACAAGAGAACCACCCCUCUGUGGUGCACAGGCGGGCUGCUUCCUCCUCCUCCCUUCUGUCAAAGUAGCAUCCAUUGUAUUUCACAGAUUUCAGUUUAUCUGCCAUCAUGUCAAUGAUCCUUUUAUACUCGUCUCUUGCUGUAGGAUGAACAUUUGAAAUAAAGCUGCUAACCUAGAGAAGGGAAAAACCCCAAACCAAUUAUUCCUUGGUGCCUGUAGCAGCCUGAAGCUCUUUUCUACAAUCACUAUGACAUACUAUAGAAGUCUUUCAUAGGUGAUCACAGAAUUAACUUGCAUCUUGAAAAUAAGCUACUUCAACAGAACCUUUUACCUCUUUCAUGUAGCUCCGUAUUCUGCUUUCACAACUGUAUCGCAUGUAGCUUGACUUGUUCUUAAAGCGAGACUCUAGACCUAAA